rnacentral:rRNA from 1 species
CCUACGGGAGGCAGCAGUGGGGAAUAUUGGGCAAUGGGCGCAAGCCUGAACCAGCAACGCCGCGUGAAGGAAGAAGGCUUUAGGGUUGUAAACUUCCUUUGACAGGGAAGAGUAGAAGACGGUACCUGUCGAAUAAGCUACGGCUAACGACGUGCCAGCAGCCGCGGCAAUACGUAGGUGGCAAGCGUUGUCCGGAUUUACUGGGUGUAAAGGGCGUGUAGCCGGGUUGGCAAGUGAGAUGUGAAAUCCUGCGGCUCAACCGCAGAACUGCAGUGGAAACUGUUGAUCUUGAGUACUGGAGAGGCAGACGGAAUUCCUGGUGUAGCGGUGAAAUGCGUAGAUAUUAGGAAGAACUCCAGUGGCGAAGGCAGUCUGCGGGACAGCAACUGACGGUGAGGCGCGAAGGCGUGGGGAGCAAACAGGAUUAGAUACCCUUGUAGUC